rnacentral:ncRNA from 1 species
CAACUGGGGAGCCGCGGCAAGCGGCUGAGAGUGGAAUGUUAUGCUUCCUUACUCAUUGAACCUGUUACGGUUAGCACCGGCGUAGGGAGUUUUGA